rnacentral:misc_RNA from 1 species
GGAUGGAUCAUUCUUGAUAAACAAUACCAACUGUAAUGUGUUUGUUGAGCCGAAAUAGAUUGUCUUACAAAUAAAAUCUGAACGAUGGAUGACUCGACUCUCGUAACGAAGAAGGACGCAGCAAACCGCGAUAUGCAGUAUGAUGUGCAAUCUCUCGUGAAUCACUAGAUUUCUGAACGCAAUUGUACUCCAGCAUCAGCUGCAGUGUGAAUGGCUCGGCGUUGAACAAAUAGAUAUUCAAUAUCUUAUGAGGGUCUCCUUAAUUGUUGGCCGAAUGAUCGUGUUUGUUUUCGCAGCUGAAAUUGAAGUCAACAACCGAUGGUUUCAAAAAUUUAAACCCGAGACUGUUCAGGAUAACUCGCUGAAUUUAAGCAUAUAAUUAAGCGUAGGAAAAGAAAUCAACAGAGAUUUCCUGAAUAGCGGCGAGCGAAAAGGAAUCAACUCAAUUUGUAAAUCGAUAGCUUCAUAACUGUCGAGUUGUACAUGGCUAGUGCCUGGGGUUCCGAACAUCUAAUUUUCUUGGAAAAGAAGGCCACAGCAGGUGACAGCCCUGUCUAUGAUGUUAUGGUUCCCUAAACGGUACAAGCCGCAAGAGUCGUGCUCUUUGUGAGUAGAGUGCAACAAGGGUGGUAAUCUUCAUCCGAAGUUAAAAAUUGACGAGAGAUCGAUAGCGAACAAGUACCCCGAGGGAAAGUUGAAAAGCACUUCGAAAGGAGAGUUAAAAGACCUGAAAUCGUUCAGAGGGAAGCGUUUGGCUGUGACCUAAGCAGUGUGUCGUAAUCUGGCAAUUAAGUAAGCCGUUAACUGUUGUCAAAGCAUGUUGAUGGUGGAUCAUUAGCCUGAGGAUCUGCAUAUUGCUUGACGACAUCAUUUUAGUAAAAGCUGAUUUUCGUUUUUACCGAAUGAGUAAUACCACAUUGUGUACAAUGUCGUCAAAGGCACGUCCAAACGACCCGUCUUGAAACACGGACCAAGGAGUUAAACUCAUGUGCAAGUGUAAGGAUGUAGAAUCUGCACGCGAAGUGAAAGCAAUAGCUGUGAACACUGUGCAACAGCGGCCGACCAUGAAGUUCGAGCUUUAGCAUAUUUGUUUAGACCCGAAAGAUGGUGAACUAUACCUGAGUAGAGUGAAGUCAGGGGAAACUCUGAUGGAAGCUCGUAGCGAUACUGACGUGCAACUCGUUCGUCAAACUUGGGCAUAGGGGCGAAAGACUAAUCGAACCAUCUAGUAGCUGGUUCCCUC